rnacentral:rRNA from 1 species
UACGUAGGGGGCAAGCGUUGUCCGGAAUCAUUGGGCGUAAAGAGCGUGUAGGCGGCCCGGUAAGUCCGCUGUGAAAGUCCAGGGCUCAACCCUGGGAUGCCGGUGGAUACUGUCGGGCUCGAGUCCGGAAGAGGCGAGUGGAAUUCCUGGUGUAGCGGUGAAAUGCGCAGAUAUCAGGAGGAACACCAAUGGCGAAGGCGGUUCUCUGGGACGGUACUGACGCUGAGACGCGAAAGCGUGGGGAGCGAACAGG